rnacentral:rRNA from 1 species
CCUACGGGAGGCAGCAGUGGGGAAUUUUGGACAAUGGGCGAAAGCCUGAUCCAGCCAUGCCGCGUGCAGGAUGAAGGCCUUCGGGUUGUAAACUGCUUUUGUACGGAACGAAAAGACUCUGGUUAAUACCUGGGGUCCAUGACGGUACCGUAAGAAUAAGCACCGGCUAACUACGUGCCAGCAGCCGCGGUAAUACGUAGGGUGCAAGCGUUAAUCGGAAUUACUGGGCGUAAAGCGUGCGCAGGCGGUUAUAUAAGACAGAUGUGAAAUCCCCGGGCUCAACCUGGGAACUGCAUUUGUGACUGUAUAGCUAGAGUACGGUAGAGGGGGAUGGAAUUCCGCGUGUAGCAGUGAAAUGCGUAGAUAUGCGGAGGAACACCGAUGGCGAAGGCAAUCCCCUGGACCUGUACUGACGCUCAUGCACGAAAGCGUGGGGAGCAAACAGGAUUAGAUACCCUGGUAGUCCACGCCCUAAACGAUGUCAACUGGUUGUUGGGUCUUCACUGACUCAGUAACGAAGCUAACGCGUGAAGUUGACCGCCUGGGGGAGGACGGCCGCGAGUUAGUUAAACGUUAAAGGUUAAAGUUAGUACGGCGUUGAGACGUUGCCGACGGACGACGACGAGGGAGGAGG